AACGAACGCUGGCGGCAUGCCUAACACAUGCAAGUCGAACGAGACCUUCGGGUCUAGUGGCGCACGGGUGCGUAACGCGUGGGAACCUGCCCUUAGGUUCGGAAUAACUCCCCGAAAGGGGUGCUAAUACCGGAUAAUGUCUUCGGACCAAAGAUUUAUCGCCUUUGGAUGGGCCCGCGUUGGAUUAGCUAGUUGGUAGGGUAAAAGCCUACCAAGGCGACGAUCCAUAGCUGGUCUGAGAGGAUGAUCAGCCACACUGGGACUGAGACACGGCCCAGACUCCUACGGGAGGCAGCAGUGGGGAAUAUUGGACAAUGGGCGAAAGCCUGAUCCAGCAAUGCCGCGUGAGUGAUGAAGGCCUUAGGGUUGUAAAGCUCUUUUGCCCGGGAUGAUAAUGACAGUGCCGGGAGAAUAAGCUCCGGCUAACUCCGUG
rnacentral:rRNA from 1 species